rnacentral:rRNA from 4 species
AAUUGAAAGAUGGUUUCGGCUAUCACUUACAGAUGGGCCCGCGGUGCAUUAGCUAGUUGGUGAGGUAACGGCUCACCAAGGCAACGAUGCAUAGCCGACCUGAGAGGGUGAUCGGCCACACUGGGACUGAGACACGGCCCAGACUCCUACGGGAGGCAGCAGUAGGGAAUCUUCCGCAAUGGACGAAAGUCUGACGGAGCAACGCCGCGUGAGUGAUGAAGGCUUUCGGGUCGUAAAACUCUGUUGUUAGGGAAGAACAAGUACAAGAGUAACUGCUUGUACCUUGACGGUACCUAACCAGAAAGCCACGGCUAACUACGUGCCAGCAGCCGCGGUAAUACGUAGGUGGCAAGCGUUAUCCGGAAUUAUUGGGCGUAAAGCGCGCGCAGGCGGUUUCUUAAGUCUGAUGUGAAAGCCCACGGCUCAACCGUGGAGGGUCAUUGGAAACUGGGGAACUUGAGUGCAGAAGAGAAAAGCGGAAUUCCACGUGUAGCGGUGAAAUG